AUCUCCAUACAAAUUUAUCCGGAUCAAUCUGUGUCCAAUCUGUUACUGGCUUGAUCAGACAGAAAUGGAUGAUAUCAGUGGAGCUGGCAUAUUGCUCCUAACCCUUCCUGAUGGCCUUUGUUUCAUCUCUGGAGGAAGGUGGAGGAAAUCCAUGCAGGAAAAAUCCACCAAGGGGUAUUUAACAAAAAGACAAAUCUCUGAACCAGAAAUCACUGGAAGCUGGGAGAGGACACCUGGGAAAGUAUCGUUUACUCUCCUGUUACGGUCUUCUGCAUUUAUCUUCUAUCACACAGGAUAAUUUGUCUUAACCUAGUACAGCUGUUCUUAUGUCUUGCACUAAGAUUUCUAUGGAUUUAUUGAUACAUAGUGGAUAUUUACACGUCUGGUUUAGCCAGUAUGUGGUAUAGUUCUUCCUAAAUCCCCUGUAGAGCCGAUGGGGACCAAAAUAUUCCUGCAGAAGGUGUUUCGGAGAAAAAUCCUAGCUUGGGUUCUUUUUUUUCUGGGCAAUCCUCUAUCCGCUGACAACAGAGGGAGAUAAAACAGCUGAGCUGGCUGAUAUAAGCCGCAUAGUGUUGAGUGGUUUCUCCUGACUCCAGCGUGUCCAUCGCCACUGAAUGUACGCCCUUAACACAGAACAUGCAAAAUCGGUGGCAAGUCCUGUGUAACAAAAGUUUGUGUUGUGCUGUGUCAAAACACCACAUCAGAUUUAACAGAGAAUAACAAUCAUAAUGCAAUUACACUGUUUCAUAGCUACAAGGAGAACAAGACACAAUGAGGCUUUUUGUUGGGUGCACGUGGCUUUUUAUCACUAGUAAGCUGCAGUGUAAAAUUCGCUGCCUCUCUCAAGCCCCCGAGGGACACCUCUUGACCCUUCUGACUGCUGCUCAGCAUGGUGGAUUGGGCAGCUCAGCGGGGCCGUGAAGAGCCCUUGUUCUGGUGGUGUACCCCGUUUGCUGCCGGCACAGUCCCAAGCCGAGAGCCCAACAGAGAAACAAUGUGCGAAGAUUUGCCCGUGCAGGGUGGGACAGAGGGGAGGACUCUGCGGUAGGUGGGGUGAGGCUACCGCAGUUUGGAGACGCUGGCGUAAAUGUUGGUGACUGAACGUGCCCCUUGAGCUGUGCUGGAGCUGCCACGGCACCUGGUCCCGCGGGCCUCCAGCCCUGCUUGUGUUUUCUCACUUUAUAUGAGAGAACCAGCAGAAUAACAAAAGACUAUUUCUAACACGCUUCACAUUUUUUUUUCCCCCUCUUUGUCUCGGAUUAUUCUGAACAUAGCUUAAACCCUAGUGCCCUCUUCUGAUCUUGCAGUAGGUGUCAGCUCUGGGCACACCUGUCCCUGCAGCUCCAGCUCAGCAGACAGCGGCAGCCGAUUGUUUGAAGUUAGGCAAGCAUUUGGGGACACAGAUAUUUUAAUUUGUAAUCAGCUUUAAAGCCUUAAAGCCUUCAACAUUUGCUCUGAUCAGAAACAGGAGCUUAGGCAUAAAUUAGUCUUUCCUAUUUAUAAAAACCAUUUUUUUCUCCCCUGGCAGGAGCCAUAGGCUUGAUCUGAAGUCCACUGAAGUAAAGGGAUAAACCCUUAUCAGCUCUGGCCCAGCCCUUAAUACAGCAAGUUCUUUGGCCAGUAGAGUCACUUAGGCUCAAUGAGGCGUACUGUUACAAGAUCUUCAAGGGACAAAUGCUAAUUAAGGAUAAUCUUGUAGAAAAUGUUACUUUUUUUGACAAAUUCAACACGGGAAAUACUGUAGCCUUACAGGGGUCAUAAGCUGUGGGAGGACAAGACAAAGAUUUCAGUGGAAAAUUGUAGAAUAUCACCUGAUGACAACAUCGCCGAAGCAGGAAUAGCUGGAAGAUCUGUGCUUUUGGCCAUGUCUAAGGGGAUCUCAAAGUGCUUCUUGGAAGAUUUUUAAUUUUUAUAGUGUCUGUACUGUAAAUGGAUUCAUGUAUCUUCCCUGGAAUGAAACAUGGUUUUCUGAACAAUUACCACCUGCCAAGAGUGAGGAAAGCAACUUUUUGGAGUUUCCAUGGGCGUUUGAAAUACUUUGGAGCCCUCCGACAGCCCUCAGCUCCCAUGUCGCAGUCUCUGCAGCCACCUCGCGGGGAGGCUGCGCCUCUUCGCUUGGGCAGAGCCAGAGAGGGACGCUCCUACGGCACACGGGAGCUUCCUGAAGAUCUCUGUCAAACUGGCCUACCCCCACCUGGCCUUGUUUAACCAUGCACUUGCCUGCAGGAGGAUUCCACUCCUCAGAUAUUCUGAGAUCUGAACUUUGUGGCACAUUUGGAGAUGACACGCUGUUUAUCAUACCGGUCUCGCAGAGGAAUUCCUUUCAGGUUGGUUUGGACAUGGCUCAUGUUGUAUAGUACUUGACUUGGAUUGCAUUGAAAGGAAAGGCUAAGGACCAGCAGCAGAUGCAGGAACAUUACUUAAUAAAUUGCUAAUCCAUCCUCAUUAACAAAGAAGUCCUUCCAGAGUGGAUAUUAAGACAAAGAGCUUUUGGCAUUUGUGUAGACUUAAGGGAACGUCUGUGUUUGUGAUGGCAGAAGAUUCAUUGUGUGAUAAUAGAAACGAAGCCUCAAAGGAAAAUCUUUUCACUGAUCAAACUACCGUUAUGCUGCCAGUUCCUCUCUUCACCCGCCUGGUCUACAUUACAUCUAGGGACAAUCAACUGGAUUUGUUUUCCAGGCUCAAGAUAUUGUAUAUAUUUAUUCUGCACUGUUGAUUCUGAGGGUUUGUGGACUUAGUUUAGGUAGAAUUUCUGAAUCCUGUUUUAAUGCUGCAAACUCUGUAUAUGCUUGGCUGUCUUCCAUUACAUUCUUACCAUAUAUAUCACAUGCUAAGAAACAGAAUUGGGCCACAAGACAACUUCCAAUGAGCAUGUUGGCCACUGAAAGCAACGUUUGAUUUGCUUCACAUCCUUGGUCUAAAGAGAGAGAAAGCGUGCUUCAAAUUCCCUGUGGGAAAACUACAGGGAGCAACUUCCCCCAGAGAACAAAAGUGAUGGAUUUUGGUGAAGCUUUGAAGUCUCAUCUUGGGAAGAUUAAAGGAGUUUGGGGACUGAAUAAGGAAACAAGGAGACAAGUUUAACAGAGGAAGAAGGUACAUUUCCAAGCAAGGGAGGAGAGGAGAGGACCAGCCAGAGCUUGGAGGAAACAUCCUCUAAAAGGUCUGGCUUGUAACAACUCACAUAUGACUGGAAAACUUGGUCCUUUCUGAAUUUUUUACCUUGGAAUUGGGAUCAACAGUGUUGUGAACCUCCCAAGCAGGGAGAUUUUGAAAAGAUCCGAGUUUAACUGCAAUGCUGGAAAGAUGGGUAAAAUGUCAACUGAAACUCCACGGGAACGGAUGAGCAUAGAGAACAUAGCCUACUGUUCGCCUGCAUUUUCAGUAAGCAGAGUUCACCAAGCUGGCUUUU